AUGAACGCUGGCGGCGUGCUUAACACCUGCAAGUCGAACGGAAAGGCCCAAGCUUGCUUGGGUACUCGAGUGGCGAACGGGUGAGUAACACGUGGGUGAUCUGCCCUGCACUUCGGGAUAAGCCUGGGAAACUGGGUCUAAUACCGGAUAGGACCACUUCUUGGAUGUUGUGGUGGAAAGUUUUUUCGGUGUGGGAUGAGCUCGCGGCCUAUCAGCUUGUUGGUGGGGUAAUGGCCUACCAAGGCGUCGACGGGUAGCCGGCCUGAGAGGGUGUACGGCCACAUUGGGACUGAGAUACGGCCCAGACUCCUACGGGAGGCAGCAGUGGGGAAUAUUGCACAAUGGGCGCAAGCCUGAUGCAGCGACGCCGCGUGGGGGAUGACGGCCUUCGGGUUGUAAACUCCUUUCGCUAGGGACGAAGCGUUUUGUGACGGUACCUGGAGAAGAAGCACCGGCUAACUACGUG
rnacentral:rRNA from 1 species